rnacentral:rRNA from 1 species
UACGUAGGGACCAAGCGUUGUUCGGAUUUACUGGGCGUAAAGGGCGCGUAGGCGGCAAUUCAAGUCAUCUGUGAAAUCUCCGGGCUUAACCCGGAACGGUCAGAUGAUACUGCUUUGCUAGAGUGCGGAAGGGGCAAUCGGAAUUCUUGGUGUAGCGGUGAAACGCGUAGAUAUCAAGAGGAACACCUGAGGUGAAGACGGGUUGCUGGGCCGACACUGACGCUGACAGCGCGAAAGCCAGGGGAGCAAACGGG